GAAACCACGCGACGAUUUUCCCUGCCACAAUCUGUCGCGCUCUUUGGAAGCACACCCACGCGGGGACAGCAGCCCGUUUCCCUUCAUUUUCCACGCGGAAGAAAUCCAGGAGUCAUGCGGCCGGGAGCGUUUCCUCUUCCCUGACCCCGUCGCUCGCUCGACGACUCACGAGGGGGCGGCCGCCGCCGCCACCGUCGCCAUCACCCCGGCGGCUCAUGGUCGACGCAUCGCUCUUGUCGUGCAUCUCCCGGUGGCCGGCAACUGGUGUGCAUCUCCUGGUUCCCGGCGAUGCAUCUCUCGCGAAUCGCGAUCGUGCCGCCACCGCCGCAAGAUCCACAUCUCGGAGCAGCACCUCCACCUCCACCUCAGCCCCGUCCUCCUAGCAGGGCAAAAUCUCGUAGAUCUUGGGGUGACCGAGCUGCCGUAUCCUCCUCCAUACUCCAGCAUCCAUGGAGAAGCGUCGUGCCACCGAGCCUAUCUCCAUACCUCACUCAGCCGAAGCGUGUGCCAGUAAUUGAUGCUGGAGAUGGCGUGCAUGUGUCUUCAGGUGCAUCAACAAAUGCCGUUGCUGAAGAUGAAGGAGCAGGGUCACCGGAAUUCUGCUCACUGCAACUUUGUCGCUGAAGACAUCUAGCUGACAAUUGACAUCUGUAGAGGUAUUUUGCCGCAGCAGAGUUUGAACCAUUUCGGUCAGCUCUUGCUAGCCCCUAUAGAGGUAUUUUGCUGCACUAGAGUUCAGUUUGGUUCAGUUUUAAUGCUUAUAAUUAAUAAAUAUACUACAUUUGCUAAUAGCUCUCUCUAAAAUGUCUAUAAUCAGGUUUGCUAAUAGCUCUCUCUAGAACAGAAUGAUAUAUGUGUAGUAUGUCUUAGCCUUCUAUAUCUUGUGAUAGAGAGGACCAGUGGAAGCAACACAUGAUCAGAGAAAAGUGAAGUGGCCUUCAUAAUUAGCAUCUGAGAAACGUUCAAGAUCAUAGAUAGAUUUUGCUCUUCAUGUCUAUCAUUUUUUAUAUACAUGCACCUACUAUUUGUCCAUUUUUUAUCCUGCUGUUGUCUAUGUAAUAUAUUGGUGUGAGCUGGAGGGCUAAUUUAAAUAUUGGUGCAGAUUUUAGCUUUCAGUUCAUAUAACCUAGUUUAUGUCUGUGUAUUGGAUGUAAAGCAUGGAAACCAUCUGUAUCCAUGCUAGCUAUUACUGAUACUAUAACCUGGUUGACAUGAUUUUAGACUUGAAUUAUGUAUUUGUAUAGAGACUUAGUCCUGAGUUUUUCC